rnacentral:lncRNA from 1 species
AGAAGGAACAGGCUGCCGAGCUUCUCAUCCUCCCCGCUCUCAAAAGGCAAUUGGUUCAUACAGACAGCCAAUCUGAGAAGGCUUCAGAGAAACAGGAUCUGAAAACCAGGCUUGCUGAUAAAAAAGAAGGAAACAAAAGGCAUGCCACUGUCAAGAAUGGGCAGGAAGGGACUUGAUGAGGUUGGCAAGAGGGUGAGGCAGAGGCGGGUCCAUCCCUAGGACAUCCCACCUCUCAGAGAUGUCACCACGGGACGCUCCUGUCAGGCCAAUGCUGUACAUGACCCAUCUGAACGACUGCCUCAGGCCAUCAGUAUUAACUUCCCUAAGGUGAAGUUCCAACAGAAGAAAAAGAGCUAAGCAUGCCUGGGACCUCAUUUUGUGCAGAAUUGACCACAGCCAAACAGCUUUAAUCAGACUGCAAGAACACCACUAUUGAGGGCUCCAUCGUGCACAUGGAGCACAAAGUCACCACCAGAGAGAGCACUUCCAAAACUCCUGCAACUACGUAAAUCUGGGAUUCAGGUGCUGAGAAAGACAAUAGAGUCCUGCAGACUUCAUGGAAUGGUAACAGGGAGAAGAAGAGGACCCAAAUUAUUGCCCAAAGGAGAGGAGAG